CAGUAGUCACCCGGGGCGCCGCAAGGCCUCCCGGGUAACCUACCACCCUUUGUUUAUUACACUUUGUUGCUUUGGCAGGCCUGCCCUCGGGCUGCUGGCUCCGGCCGGCGAGCGCUUGCCAGAGGACCUAAACUCUGUUUGUCUAUACUGUCUGAGUACUAUAUAAUAGUUA
rnacentral:misc_RNA from 1 species